UACGUAGGGACCGAGCGUUGUCCGGAAUCAUUGGGCGUAAAGAGCGUGUAGGCGGCCACUUAAGUCCUGCGUGAAAUCUUGCGGCUCAACCGCAAGCGGUCGUGGGAAACUGGGUGGCUAGAGUGCGGGAGAGGAGAGUGGAAUUCCUGGUGUAGCGGUGGAAUGCGUAGAUAUCUGGAGGAACACCGGUGGCGAAGGCGGCAUCCUGGACCGACACUGACACUGAGGAGCGAAAGCCAGGGGAGCAAACGGG
rnacentral:rRNA from 1 species